AGCGAACGCUGGCGGCAGGCCUAACACAUGCAAGUCGAACGAUCCUUCGGGAUAGUAGCGGACGGGUGAGUAACACGUGGGAAUAUGCCUUUUGGUUUGGGAUAACUGAGGGAAACUUCAGCUAAUACCGGAUAAGCCCUAUGGGGGAAAGGAUUUAUCGCCGAAAGAGUAGCCCGCGUUGGAUUAGCUAGUUGGUGGGGUAAGUGGCCCACCAAGGCUACGAUCCAUAGCUGGUCUGAGAGGAUGAUCAGCCACACUGGGACUGAGACACGGCCCAGACUCCUACGGGAGGCAGCAGUGGGGAAUCUUGCGCAAUGGGCGAAAGCCUGACGCAGCCAUGCCGCGUGAAUGAUGAAGGUCUUAGGAUUGUAAAUUCUUUUAGCAGGGACGAUAAUGACGGUACCUGCAGAAAAGCCCCGGCUAACUUCGUGCCAGCAGCCGCAGUAAU
rnacentral:rRNA from 1 species